GCAGAAUCAACGUUCACAGUUUAUUAAAGCUGACCACAGGCAAAAACGGCAUCAACCAAGGAUUCAGACAAACAGAAAUAAUUCCAGAUGGCUGGUAAAUGUCAACUAAAUAGUCCUCUGUGGCAGAGCAGAACAAAAGUGGCAGCAAGGCUUCACAGGGCAGCCGGUCUAGGUGUUGGCGAGGCAGGAGGCAAACGGAGACGCCUCACAGCAAGGCAAGCCCGUCCCACUCUAUAAAAGUAUUUUGCUCGAGUUGUUUGGUUUACUCUUAGUCUGAGUUCUGAUGGACACAAGACAUUUGAAAACUACUGGAGUCAAUGACAACUGGGAUUCUGAGCAUACAACCAGUAAUUUCCUGAACAAUCUGGUGAAGAUCGAAUACUUCCACUCUCACCUCUAUCCACUUACGUGAUCAUUGUAUGAUUAAAUCAUAAAUAUACUUGAAUCACAGAGAUAAAUAAUGGGCGCCAAUGUAGCACAUGAGCAAUCGAAACGGCGUCAAGCAGAGGAGGAACGCAACCGAGCUGAAGCUGAGAAAGCAGAACUCCAGCAACAAAAUGAGAUUUUACAGCGAGAAAGAUAUUUGGAGAAAAUGAAACAAGAAGAAAAAAGAAAAAUAGACGAACAUAACAGAUUUAAGGAACGAGAAGAAAGGAAUAGAAUUCAACUAGAAAAGUCACAAAAUGAAAACAAAAGCAAAUAAUUUUUUUAUAAAACUGUUUUAUCAUUGAGAGUUUUACAUUCUGUAAAUGAUGCUCAUUUGCCAUAUGCCUCAAAAAUCUCUAAGCUCAAAAAAAUGUUUAUAAUGAUUUGUUAAGCUUUAUUUAUAUACCAGAGAAGAUGCAACCUACACUUUAAAGGUUGAUUGCUGAGAUCCUAAAUCAGUGUGUUUAUUUCUUACCUCUAAAUUUUCACAAGCAAUAAGAAAUCACAUUUGUUUUAUCACACACAGAGAUUGUGAACUUUAUGCGUAAUAUGCUUAUUGCUUAAAUAAAAUCAUAAAACACAACAA